UACGUAGGGGGCAAGCGUUGUCCGGAAUCAUUGGGCGUAAAGCGCGUGUAGGCGGUCCGGUAAGUCGGCUGUGAAAGUCCAGGGCUCAACCCUGGGAUGCCGGUCGAUACUGCCGGACUAGAGUUCGGAAGAGGCGAGUGGAAUUCCCGGUGUAGCGGUGAAAUGCGCAGAUAUCGGGAGGAACACCAAUGGCGAAGGCAGCUCGCUGGGACGUUACUGACGCUGAGACGCGAAAAGCGUGGGGGAGCAAACAGG
rnacentral:rRNA from 1 species